AAAAAAUACAGUUCAAUUUGAAUUUUAGGUAAGCCAAGUAAAUUUUCUUGGUAUAAGUAUAUCCCAAGUACUGCAUGGGACAUACUUAUGCUAAAAAUAAUUAUUUGUUGUGCAUUUGAAAUUCAAACUGAACUGGGCGUCCUCAAUUUUAUCUGGCAAGGCCUCGCGGAUCAGGCAAGGAACUUGUUCUCAAACCAGGAGCAAAGGGAGGAGGGAUGAUGACAGUCUCCUUCAGGAAGCUGUUUGAGGAUUAAUGGAGAGAGGCUUGGGAUCCAGGAGUCUGGGACAUGCUGCUCGUAUCAGGAGCACUGCGGAUGGCACACAGACAACACCGUGGCGAGUCGAGGGGGAGCACCCGGUGUGGCCACUUUUGGGCACGUUGCCCCGGCUUUGGGACGAGGUGGCCACAGCUUUAUUUCACGCUGGCUCGGGCCGAGGCAGGGACCUGGCUCCUCCAGGCCCAGGCCCCUGCCCCGUGUGCUGUUGGACACCAGGCAACGGGACGUAAGGUGGAGAGAGGCAGCUCUCGCCACAGGCCCUGGGGCCGUGGCACCUGCUCAGCACACAUCUCCUCACUGAAUUUUCCCAAGAGCCCCAGGAAAUGCUGCCGUUAUCCUCGAUUUACGAUGAAGAAACUGAGGCUUGAGAGGUAGAGUGGCUUGUGCCAGUGGGUGGGGGCCAAGCUGAUGCUGGCAUGCAGACCCGUCUCGAAACCCCAAGGCUUUCCCUCCCGUCCCGUCACCCCAUUUGGCAGGUGCACGAAAUAAAAUCAUGUUCUGCGGGCUCUUGGCUUUGCA
rnacentral:lncRNA from 1 species